AUCGUUUUCCCAAGAGACUCGAAAGGCUUUAUCGUUCGCGUGAAUUAAAAUAAUAAGACUUGAAAAUAAAUAUUAAUUGGUUGAGUAUUAAAAUAAAAUAUGAACAUGCAAAAGAGAUUGAUUCAAAUGACAGGAAGAAAACAAUGGAUGAAUGGAGUUGUUGGGGGUUUACAAUUUCAUCUAAUCCGCUCUCUCUUAUUUACUCCUCUUGAAUUAUUAGUUUGAUUAAUUAAUUGCCAUGCAACUUUCUUAGCCUACCCUUAACCCUAUCCCUCGGCGAAAAGAGCCUAAUACUAAUUACUGGCUU
rnacentral:lncRNA from 1 species